UCGAAUGAAUGUAGAGUUGGUUGUCGCUGGCCUCUUCGCUGGGGCAUGUGCACGCCUUCUCUUUCAUCCACACACACCUGUGCACUUGUGAGACGGAGGCCAUUUUUUCUUUCACGAGAGGAGGGGUUUCCGUCUGCCAAUACAUAAACUCAUAUAUUGUAAUCUGAAUGUAAUUGAUGUAACGCAUCUAUAAAC
rnacentral:misc_RNA from 1 species